rnacentral:rRNA from 1 species
AACGAACGCUGGCGGCAUGCCUAACACAUGCAAGUCGAACGAGACCUUCGGGUCUAGUGGCGCACGGGUGCGUAACGCGUGGGAACCUGCCCUUAGGUUCGGAAUAACUCCCCGAAAGGGGUGCUAAUACCGGAUAAGUUCUUGGAACAAAAGAUUUAUCGCCUUUGGAUGGGCCCGCGUUGGAUUAGCUAGUUGGUAGGGUAAAAGCCUACCAAGGCGACGAUCCAUAGCUGGUCUGAGAGGAUGAUCAGCCACACUGGGACUGAGACACGGCCCAGACUCCUACGGGAGGCAGCAGUGGGGAAUAUUGGACAAUGGGCGAAAGCCUGAUCCAGCAAUGCCGCGUGAGUGAUGAAGGCCUUAGGGUUGUAAAGCUCUUUUACCCGGGAUGAUAAUGACAGUACCGGGAGAAUAAGCUCCGGCUAACUCCGUG